GCAGCACCAUCAUGAGUAACAAUAUCUCCUGCAGGAGCCCCAGCUAUGUGUAGGUGAAGAACACCUAAACUACAGAAGGUGGGGCAUCAUGUUCUGAUUGGCUGGGCAACUUACUUCCCAGAGCAGAACAAGAACCAUACUGAGAAAGCUUCUUUAGACCAGAGUCCAGAUCCAUGUCACAAGUCCAAGGAGUGGGUUAUUGCUGAUUCUGGGAAGCAGAAGAUGGAAAAGUCCCUGGGUGCCUCGUUCCUGAUCUUCUGCCUGCACCUUGGAUGGGUGAGCUGUCAACAGAAGGUGGAGCAGAGUCCUCCCACCCAGACUGUCCAGGAGGGAGAAAACACUACUUUUAGCUGCCAUUACUCAGACAGUACUUCCAGAGGAGUACAAUGGUUCAGGCAGGAUCCUGGAAAAGGGCUCAUCCUCCUAUUUUACAUUGUCUCAGAGGGAAAGCAGAAAGGAAGAUUAAGAUCCACAAUGAACAAAAAAGAACUUCUCAGUUCUCUACACAUCACUGACUCCCAGCCUGAAGACUCAGGCACCUACCUCUGUGCUGUGGAGCCACAGUGAUCCCCAGGCACCUGCAGGCUGUGCACAAACCCUGUAGCUGGGGCUCCAAGUCACAUUCCCUGCCAAAGGGCCAUAUGAUGACCACUCAUGAC